GACGAACGCUGGCGGCGUGCUUAACACAUGCAAGUCGGGCGGUAAGGCCCUUUCGGGUGUCCACGAGCGGGGAACGGGUGUGUAACACGUGAGCAACCUGCCCUUCACUUUGGGAUAACCGCCGGAAACGGUGGCUAAUACCGGCAAGGACUUCCUCACGCAUGGGGGGUGGUGGAAAGCCUUCGGGCGGUGGGGGAUGGUUGCGCGGUCUAUCAGCUUUUGGGGGGGGGGGUGGUCUCCCAAGGCUUAGCCGGGUAUCCGGCCUGAGGGGGUGACCGGCCACACGGGGACUAAGACACGGCCCAGACUCCUACGGGAGGCAGCAGGGGGGAGUAUUGUCCAAUGGGCGCAAGCCUGAUACGACAGCGCCGCGUGAGGGAUGACGGCCUUCGGGUUGUAAACCUCUUUCGCCUGCGACGAAGCGGGUGUGACGGUACCAGGAAAAGAAGCACCGGCCAACUACGUG
rnacentral:rRNA from 1 species